UGCAAGUCGAACGGUAACAUUUCUAGCUUGCUAGAAGAUGACGAGUGGCGGACGGGUGAGUAAUGCUUGGGAACUUGCCUUUGCGAGGGGGAUAACAGUUGGAAACGACUGCUAAUACCGCAUAAUGUCUACGGACCAAACGGGGCUUCGGCUCCGGCGCAAAGAGAGGCCCAAGUGAGAUUAGCUAGUUGGUAAGGUAACGGCUUACCAAGGCGACGAUCUCUAGCUGUUCUGAGAGGAAGAUCAGCCACACUGGGACUGAGACACGGCCCAGACUCCUACGGGAGGCAGCAGUGGGGAAUAUUGCACAAUGGGGGAAACCCUGAUGCAGCCAUGCCGCGUGUGUGAAGAAGGCCUUCGGGUUGUAAAGCACUUUCAGUUGUGAGGAAAAGUUAGUAGUUAAUACCUGCUAGCCGUGACGUUAACAACAGAAGAAGCACCGGCUAACUCCGUGCCAGCAGCCGCGGUAAUACGGAGGGUGCGAGCGUUAAUCGGAAUUACUGGGCGUAUAGCGCACGCAGGCGGUUUGUUAAGCUAGAUGUGAAAGCCCCG
rnacentral:rRNA from 1 species